ACGCUGGCGGCGUGCCUAAUACAUGCAAGUCGAACGGUCUUUUCUAUGGAAGCUUGCUUCCACUGAGAAGAUAGUGGCGAACGGGUGAGUAACACGUGGGUAACCUGCCCAUAAGAGGGGGAUAACAUCCGGAAACGGGUGCUAAUACCGCAUAGUUUUUCUUGAUCGCAUGAUUGAGAAAGGAAAGACGGCCUUUGUGCUGUCGCUUAUGGAUGGACCCGCGGCGUAUUAGUUAGUUGGUGAGGUAACGGCUCACCAAGACGAUGAUACGUAGCCGACCUGAGAGGGUGAUCGGCCACAUUGGGACUGAGACACGGCCCAAACUCCUACGGGAGGCAGCAGUAGGGAAUCUUCCGCAAUGGACGAAAGUCUGACGGAGCAACGCCGCGUGAGUGAAGAAAAGGGUUUUCGGAUCGUAAAACUCUGUUGUCAGAGAAGAACAAGUUUGGAGAGUAACUGCUCCAGCCUUGACGGUAUCUGACCAGAAAGCCACGGCUAACUACGUGCCAGCCGCCGC
rnacentral:rRNA from 1 species